rnacentral:lncRNA from 1 species
GAAGGUCAUCAGCCGCGUGCGCCACCGCAACCUCGUGCAGCUCGUGGGGUGGUGCCACGAGAAGGGGGACCUGCUUCUCGUCUAUGAGUACAUGCCCAACGGCAGCCUCGACGCCCACCUCUACGGCGGCGGUAGUCCUCUGUCGUGGCCGACGAGGUACAGCAUCGCUCGGGGUGUCGCGGCGGCGCUGCUUUACCUCCACGAAGAGUCGGAGCAGUGCGUGGUGCACAGGGACGUCAAGUCGAGCAAUGUGAUGCUGGACACCAAUUUCAACGCCAAGUUAGGGGAUUUCGGCCUUGCGAGGCUCGUGGACCACGGCGGCGGCAUGGAGACGACGGCCGUGGCUGGGACGAUGGGGUACCUGGCGCCGGAAACCGCGACGACGGGUAGGGCGAGCAAGGAGUCGGACGUCUACAGCUUCGGGGUGCUGGCCUUGGAGAUCGCCUGCGGGAGGAGACCCAUCGAUUACGGCAAUAAAGAGGAUCGGGUUAGUCUCGUUGACUGGGUUUGGGAUCUCUACGGGAAGGGCGCCGUUUUGGAGGGGGCGGACGAGAAGCUGGGCUCGGACUACAACCGGCAGGAGAUGGAGCGGCUGAUGGUGGUGGGGCUGUGCUGCGCCCACCCGGACCACCUGCAACGGCCGUCGAUGCGGCAGGUGAUUGGCAUUCUUCUUUUCGAAAUGCCAUUGCCAAAUCUUCCGGUCCAGAUGCCGGAGCCGUCCUACGGAGGGGUUUCCGUUUCUAGGUCCAACCUGGCCACCAUCAACGGGUGGUCGUCGCCUCCGUCGAUUCAGCUGGCUUCCACUGACAGCAAACCACUUCCGUAUCCGCCCGUCAGGUAAAGCCAUCAGAUUCAACGUUUUCGUUUUAUUCUUCGAUUUACUCUUGGCUUGUCUUUUUAGGCGGUCGUCGCAUUAACGGGUCCAGCGACUGGGCUGACCAUUUCUCACCAAAACGGCCGUCGACCGACAGAUCUCAGUGCACGCUCCAACUCUCCCAUUAACAACCACUCGGUCCUUAGAGGUGUUAAUAAGUAGAACCUCUCUUCUCUACUUCAGUGUACUAUUUGACAGUUGUGAAGAGAAGUUCAACGUAGAUAUCUAAGGGCCUAAUCGAAGUUUUGAAGGCCAUGAUUAGAUAUCUAUUUUCUGAGUUCUUGAUGAGAGUUUUCUUGUGAUCUUAUCAUAUCUAACUAAAGCUUUCGUCAUUGUUUUUCGUAGACAAAAGAAGAGGUAUAUGGAACCAUGUUAAAGUGUUUUAUGCUAGUACCCUAUUAUGAGUUGAUCACAUCAUGUAGAUUGCAUAAACAAUAUUUUGCUAGUACCCUACUAUGGGUUUUGUUCACCUAUUUUUUUUGCUUUAUUUCAUUACUCCUAGGUGAGUUCAUGACUCCUCCACACCUUUCACUAGAACAUGGACCAGAUCUGCAUAAUCGACUAAGAGAGGAGAUCAAUUCAACCUGUCUAAGUUUAUCUUUUCUUUCAUAUCAGCUUUUAGGUGGCUGUGACUCCCAACUCUCUCUAGUGUAAGAGGAUUCCUCUCGUUUACCCUUAAAAUUCACAGGCAACACUACUGCGGAUUUGAGUUUGGCAAGAAGUGAACUCGAUGAGCUCCAAAAGAGUAAAAGGAAAAUAUGUUGUAAGUAGGGAGAAAGUACGUCCAGAUAUGGAGGAGAAGAGGGCUGGAAUAGAGGAUGGACGGGAGUUCGUGGAACAAAAUAAGCCCUCAAAAUCAAAUUUCUUGAGUUGUUUACAACCAAAUAGAGAGGGUUUUAUCUGAAGGUAGAGAACUUAAUUCAAAAUUGAUUAAAAACAAAAAAAAGAAGGAAGAGACUAAAACUCAUGAUUUCUAGAUAUUAAUAUGCAUACUCAACUAUAAACUCAUGAGAUGCAGUUAGGAAUCUAACUUAAUGUUUUCCUUCAAACUAGUUACAUUGAUAUUGAUGAUAUUUCUCAAUUGUUGUCCUUACAUGGCAUCUAAAGAUGCUGCAUUAACAUGAAGCCGUACCUAGGUCAAUACAUACAUUUUAACAAUAUGGGAAUUUUUUUUAUUAAAGUCAAUACCUUUCUCUUUGCAUAAACCUUUCACAACUAAUUUAGUCUUGUACUUUAGAUGUAAAGGUUAUCAUUGAGUCUUCAGCUUGAAAGUUCAUUUGUUCUCUAUGGCUUUCAUCCCCUUUGAUAGUUAUACUAGAUCAUGUAUGUGGUUUUUCUACAAUGCCUCCAUUUCUUCACACAUUGCUACUAGCCACUUAAUUUUAAGCUCAAUUUCAACUACCUUUCGGUAACUAUCUAGUUCGCCUACAUCAGUAAGUAUAAUAUAUUUACCUAGAGGAUGAAUUUUAGAAGGUUUUAUAUGAUCCAAGAAAAAUUAUAGAUGAGUCUUCAUGGGAGAAUGUUCCUUCACUUCUCCAUGCUCAUCAUGUUGAUAGACUCCUAAGUACCCAAGUCCCUUGUCGCCAGAAACGGAGCAAAAGAAAGGAACGGAUUGCCAGAGCGGAAGACCAGCGCCCAACAUGAGUAAGUUUUGGGCCAGAAAUGAUGGGCCCAGAUGGAGGGCUUGGGCUGGUUAAGGCCUGACCAGUCAACAGCCAACUGUCACAGCGACAGUUUAAAUACUAGAGCAAGAGAUCGAGCGGGAGGAGAGAAAAAUCAAGAUUCUUCUACCCCAUCUGCCUCGACGUUUCACUCUGUCUGUCUGUCUGUCUGUCUCUCUCUCUCUCUCUCUCUCCCUCUCUCUCUCUCUGUUUCGCUCUCUAUUUCUCUCUCUCUUUCUUUCGUCAUGAUCUCGGCUAGAUCUGCUGUUCAUCAACAUCCUUGCUGCCUGAUCCUUUACCUCCUUCUGCAUUGUCUUUCCGGAGUUCGGAAAUGAUUGCUCUCGAGAUCAGGAACUAGUAAUUCUUGCAUUUCAAGAAAUUGAGAAAGGUGAUUGCGUACGUAAUACUUCUUCUUGUUCUCUGAAAUUCUUGUGUCUAAAAUCUUAAUAUCUUAUUUUGAGUAAAUUUCUUGAUAUCCUUCUGUUCUAUCUUUGAAUCAUUGGUUGAACUUCAACCGUUCCCUCCAAAUUUAUAUUGAUUGUGAGGAAUAUAAAAAAAGGAGAUCCUAUCACAUGUCUUAUAGGCAAGUUUGCAUCAAUUUCACUUAUAUCAUGUCCAUAGUAUUAGAAAGGCAGCAGCUGGAUGACGGGCAGCGGUGGAAAUAGUCGGACGGAAGAAGUGGUGGCAGAUGGAUAUUGGCCCUCAGGACCUCUCCUUCGGAGCGAAGAUGGUUGACCCUCACGGCCUCUCCCUCAUGGAGCAGACACAAGUAGUUCCUCAGAAUAAUCUCUUAUCUGGAGAUGGUCGCAAGACCUCGCCGCUCCUAGUUAGAAGCUCCACCUUUGUCUCUAUCUGGUCGUUGUCGCCAUCUGUCGUCGCCUCCACCACUGCCUUCGCUGCCACCGCCAUCUUCCUCGUCUUCUGCCGUCGUCUUCUUCCUCGUCGUCCACCACCAUAGGGGCGCGAGACAACUCUCUCUAAGGAGCUCGGCAAAAUAGCCCCGUAACUUCGGGAGAAGGGGUGCCUCCUCACAAAGGGGGUUGCAGCGACCAGGCCUGGGCGACUGCCGCCACUAUUUUGUAUAUGUCCGCUUCGGCCUCCGACACUCUUGGUCCGCCACUAUCUCUACCUUCAUUGCCGUCGCCUCCAUCCCGUCGCCGACCACCUCAUCGCCGCCGCCGGCUGUCCAAGAUCAACCCCAUUCUGUCGUCGCCGCCACCAUCCCUUCCCGCUUCUUCCACUGCCAUUGUCGCCCUUCCCAACCUUUGUUCCUCUGGUGAUCUGUUCCGCCGGUUUCUUUCCCAAUUAGGGCUUAAAGGCCCCGAUUCGUGGGUCCCAAUCUACUGGUUGAACUCGUUCGGUGAUCUCGACCAGGCCACCCUCCGAUGCGAGCCCCAUUGGUCUGAACGAACCCGCCACAGGUUCGAGCCAACGUGGACAAUUGGGUCCACGUCGUUCUCCCGCGCCAGGCCGAGCCAUUCUGACCAUCUGGUCCACGUCGGGCAUCCCGUCCAGCUGGAGCCAAGACUCAAUCAAAUUUCUACGACAUAGUGAAUGAUCAAUUAUCUAGGCAACGGUCAACAGCGUGGUCAAAAGUCAACUAUUAAUAUUCUGCAACCAAUAGUCUCUCUUCUCAGUCCUUUCCAAGGUAAGUAGUUCUCACGCAUCAUAUAUCUCUGCUCAUUUAAUAUAUUCUUAUUGCGAUUGUCCGAGGGUGACUAUAGUGUAACCAUAUGUUUCUGAGUUUAAUGAGCAUAGUAUAACGACUGGUGACUUUUCUGAGCUACCCGAUCACGGCUGUCCUUGUAGAAACACAGCCGUCACGAGGGCCCUCGGCCGUCAACCUUGUGGGAAGAAAUGUACCCGUCAGACCUCAGCUUUCCUCCUGCCCGUGGACAGCGUAGAGGUCAACGUGGACAGGCCACAUGCACUGAAUGCAAUUAAACGUGUUUAAACAUUGUACCCCGUCAGUCUUCAUUUUUGUAAAGAUUUCAAGGAUCUUCCAUGGAAAAUCUAAAAGCUCAACGAAUUAUCUUUGAUGCGAAGUGGAAGUGAAAAGGAUCGAGUAGUUUAAGAAAACCAUUUGAUGUAGAAUGCUCAACGAUUUUAUAGUUCAGAAAAUGUUUAAUACCACAGUUUAACAAUACACUGAAUAUGUAAAGUGGCUAUCGUAUGAUCUCUCAACCCACUAUAACAAGAAAGUAUAUUAAAUGAACAAAUGAAAUAGAGAAAUAAGAAGAUAUACUUGAACAUUGAAAAUAACGGUUGACCAUUGACCAAUAUAUUUGACCUUUUAUCUGUUUACCGAUGACUUGUCCUUGUUGACGGUUGACUGUGGAUGACCAAUCAGCUGCAGCGGCUCACAGCUAAGGGGUGGACCUGACUUGGUCCCAGUGGCUGGAUGGCUUUCGCCAGACGGUUUGGAUCGCGGCUGGCUAAAAGGUGUAAGUGUUGGUGGGCGGCUGGAAAUGGGCCAGGUAAAAUCAAGCCCUAGCCGUAAGAGGAGGGGCCAUCAGGAGGCGGCGGGAGAGGGGAAAGAGGGGUCGGUGGCGACGGCAGGCGGAGGCUGCAGCCGGUGGCGAGGGGAUGGCAGGCAGCGGCGGGCGGCGGAAAGGUGAGAGCUGGCGGCAAGGCCAUGGCUGGUAGCGGCAGGCGGUGGCAGGCGUCGGGAAGACGACGGCUGGCGGUGGCGGGAGGUAAUGGCGGCGAGCAGUGGCCGGCAGCGACGGGCGGAGGAUGAUGCGACUGGAAGGUGGUGGCGAUGCAGGCCGCGGCGGUACAAUGGCGAUAGAAGAAAGGGAAGGUGGGGGAGGGAAUGGUGCUCCAGACCAAGAGUGGCGGGGUCCUCUGACCAACCCAAGCCGGGGUGACGGGAUCUUACGAUCAGUUAAGAUAAGGAACUAAUCCUCAAAACUCCAUUUUUAAUUCUCCUUAAAUCAAAGGUCUGAAGGCCGAUUUAUAAGCCUUUCUACAGUGAAAUCUUAGUCAGUCAAUAAUGAAGGAAAUCUUCUAUUGCAAGGCAUUUGUUUUGAUGGCUUAAUCGGCGCGUAGCCGGAUCAAGGGCGUCGUCCACACCUUCUAUGUUGGUCAUUCCCCCAAUUUGAUUCAAAUCACCUUCCUUGAUCAAGAGAUGGUUUGGGCGCGCUGCAUCAAUCCCCCACCGCAAAAAGCGGUCCUCGUGGCCACGGCAGGGUUGGUUGGUGAUCCUCACCGUCCUUCCGGGAAAAGACCUCGCGACUUACCCCUUGUCCCCUUCGAGGACGAUGGAACCUUCGUGUGGCGGCUCCGGUAGGUCAACUUGGGGCUGGAUGGUCGCCGCCUUUCUUGAAAGCCUCACCGGAACACGCGUAGACCGAAGCGAUUAUCGCUUCAUUAUUUAGGGGCGCCGCCACCCACUCGCCCAUCAGGAGGAGCGCUCGAAUUUAAUAAACGAGCGGUUACUGUCACGAUAACAAGGCCGAGAACUUACAAAAUGUUUCAUAGCCAGAGUGCCGUGACGGCUUUCGCACCUUACAGCGGCCUUGUGGAGGCCCCAACCCACCUCCACGGAAAUCAUCGUUGAGCCAUGCCGCCGGGCGCCUCCAUCGCCUCUUUGCUCCUCCUGCUCGCCUUCGUCCUCGAGGCGCGAGGGGAGACGGUGACCACCUCUUUCAACUUCCCCAGUUUCGAUUCCAGCCCCACAGACAUCACCUUCCUGGCCGAUGCCUCAUCCGCCAACGGAUCCCUAGAGCUCAACUUGAACGCCGGAUACAGCCUCGGCCGAGCCAUCUACUCGAAACCAAUCCGCCUCUGGGACAACGAAACCAAGAGUCUUGCAAGCUUCACCACAAACUUCUCUUUCUCCGUGAUCCGGCGUCCGAACACGACGGAUAACGGCGAUGGGUUAGCCUUCUUCCUCGCCCCCGUCGGCUACCCUAUUCCGGAGAACAGCACGGGUGGUUCAUUCACGCUCUUCAACCGCUCAUGUGUAGACCAACCCGCAAAGGUCCCCGUAGUAGCCGUCGAGUUCGACACCUUCCAAAACAGAGGAGAAGACGCGGCCCCCCAUGUGGGGAUCGACCUCGGCUGCUACAAGUCGAUUAGGAGCUCGAUUUGGGAGUCGCUCGAGGGUCAGACCAGUGUCACGAUCGACGCAGUGAUCACCUAUGAUGCAGGCACCACCACGCUGACAGCCUUCUUCUCCGGCAGGAGCGGCUACAUCAGGACCCUACCUUACGUCGUCGACCUGAGAAACGAGCUUCCCGAAAGGGUUGACAUUGGUUUCGCUGGCGCCACUGGUGAUUUCUUCGAACGCCAUGUGAUACAUUCCUGGAGCUUCAAUUCGAGCCUGGAUGUCGCCGUCCGUAACGGCAACACUACAAACGGAGGCGACGCGGGAGGGGGCGGCAUCAACGCUCCUCCGGACCCCCCUCCGAGCAAGAAGAAAAGCAGCAUCGGCCUACUGGCUGGUGUGCUUGCUGGCGCGGGAACCUUGGCAAUCGCAGCGGGUUUGGCACUCUUCUUCGUCCGGCGAAGAAGGGCAUAUGCCAAGAAUGGAGGACAGGACGACGUCAUCAACGACAGCGAACUUGACGAAGGCAAGGGGCCCAAGACCUUCUCUUAUUCGGAACUCGCCCGGGCAACAAGCAACUUUGCGCCAGAACAAAAGCUAGGAAGAGGAGGAUUCGGAGACGUUUACAGAGGAACCUUAACCCAGCCGAAAAUGGUGGUGGCCAUCAAAAGAGUGGCAAAAGACUCGAGGCAGGGAAAGAAGGAGUAUGUCGCCGAGGUGAAGGUCAUCAGCCGCGUGCGCCACCGCAACCUCGUGCAGCUCGUGGGGUGGUGCCACGAGAAGGGGGAGCUGCUUCUCGUCUAUGAGUACAUGCCCAACGGCAGCCUCGACGCCCGCCUCUACGGCGGUGGCAAUCCGCUGCCGUGGCCGACGAGGUACAGCAUCGCCCGGGGGGUCGCGGCGGCGCUGCUUUACCUCCACGACGAGUCGGAACAGUGCGUCGUCCACAGGGACGUCAAGUCGGACAAUGUGAUGCUGGACGCCAAUUUCAACGCCAAGUUAGGGGAUUUCGGCCUUGCGAGGCUCGUGGACCACGGCGGCGGCAUGGAGACGACGGCCGUGGCUGGGACGAUGGGGUACCUGGCGCCGGAGACCGCGACGACGGGGAGGGCGAGCAAGGAGUCGGACAUCUACAGCUUCGGGGUGCUGGCCUUGGAGAUCGCCUGCGGGAGGAGACCCAUCGAUCACGGCAAUAAAGAGGGACGAGUUAGUCUCGUCGACUGGGUGUGGGAUCUCUACGGGAAGGGCGCCGUUGUGGAGGGGGCGGACGAGAGGCUGGGCUCGGACUUCGACCGGCAGGAGAUGGAGCGGCUGAUGGUGGCGGGCCUGUGCUGCGCGCACCCGGACCACCGGCAACGGCCGUCGAUGCGGCAGGUGAUCGGCAUUCUCCUCUUCGAGAUGCCGUUGCCUGAUCUUCCGUCCGAGAUGCCGGACCCGUCCUACGGAGCGUUUUCGGUUUCAGGGUUCAAGUUGACCAGCAACAACGGGUGGUCAUCGUCUACGUCCGCGACCUCCGCUGGAUUCACCAACGGCGCCUCCGUCGAUUCAGCGGGGUCCGCCGUCUCCAAACGACUUCUGUUUCCGUCCGGCAGUUGAAUCAGUCGAAUUCAACUCUUUCGUUUUGUUUGUCUUUCACUCAGGAGUUGAGUACAGCGAGAGAGCGAGAUAUUUCUGUGUUAUUUGCACUUUCUUCCCAACUGUUCUUGCUGUAAAAAUCCCUGUAACCAAGGUUUCGAUCCUUGGAGCUUAGCUCCCUCGUCCUACUCAGUUGACGGUGGAUUCUCGCGGACCCAUUACCACGAUGUAUCCCGGCAUUUUCGUGAGGAUCCUGAAUAGAUCUGAUAGGAAGGAAAGGAUAGGUUCGGCCUCCGACGUCUGUCUAUGGCAUUCCUCCCACGGGGGCGGCACGUCACCCACCGCACCACGACGACCAUUCACGAGAACGCCGAUGGUCAGGCCAGGCGUCUGUUCACAUCUUUUGUCUACUCUGUUUCAUGGGUCCUGGGUGACUUCUUCACGUGUUCCCACCUUCCCUCGGACGCGGACGAAAUCCGGAGAAUCAGCUUGGACAUGAGAUCGAUUCAGCCCGUCCUAGUUUAUCUUCCCUUAAAGACGGUGUUUUACGUGGGUACUACUCCAUUGCUCUCCUGUCGGCGUAACAGGACUGCUCCUUACGCCAUCACCUCCCCCCCCCAAUUGGUAGCUCGCAAAUCGCAUACAACACCAGCAUCACUGGAGAUCCGAGUUCGAGUGCUGAGGGGACGCCACAGCUGGAUACCAUUCAUCCAGGGACCCAUCGUCCCUCCGGGGCUCCCCUUACUUUCCGGCCCUUGCCCAUCUCGCUAAGAAGCCACAGGCAGCUGGCCGGAUGGAAACUAGUGAAGCUGGUGAGAGCUGGCAUCUCAGCCAAUUGUUCCCCCGUCUGACUUCUGACUCGGUCCAUGCAUUACUUCGUCAUAAAGGUGUGCGAGAAUCGGGCCACAACCGGUCCUUUUCGCAUGUCGCGUCCUCUCUCUCUCCUCGGCAUGAAACGCCUCGUCAUCCUCCACCCAGCCGAUUCCCAACAACCUUUCCCUUCCAACAAUCUUUCACUUCAUCUCAUAAUAGAGAUCUUAAAUGAAAUGUCUGGUUAUUGUAUAAAUAGAUAAUAACUGCAUCAGGGAACUGUGACUUGUGACUGUACUAAAUUUCAUGUUUAUUCUUCAAAAAUUUCUCCAAGAGUUCAUUCGAAAUCACAUGUAUAUAUUUCAAAAUUCUUCUCUCUAAUCACUUUGAAAACCGAAUUAUAUAUUUCACUUUUUUUCACUAUUUAUUUAAAAACUCAAAAUAUUUUUUUAUUAAUUAAAAUACAAUUUUUAAAAUAUGAAAUCAUUUUAAAAAUAAAAUAAAUAUUAAUAUUCAUGAAAAAUUAUUCAUACUCGAUGUUUGACUUAAGACUCAUUUAUUCAUCCCCGAGACAAGUACCAUCAAAGAUUAACCAUAAAAAGUGAUUAAUAGUGGGUAUAAAAAGAAGAGCCAGUGAAAAGAAAAGAAUAUAGAAGUAGAUACAAGAGAUUGACCAUCUCAUAAUGAGUCCUUAUCUAGAAUAAUUUUACCAUCUCGUUGUCAACCACCCACCACUUUCAUUCCCUUGUUUUCAUUUUCUAUUCCAUUUGACUUAUGUCAGGUCUUCAAACUAUGUACCCUUCAAAGGAUUUUUAGGCCCUUAGUGAAAUAUUUUCCUAUGAAAAGUGAGUCACCUUUCUUCCACGUCUUGAGGCUGAUGAUAGACUAAAUGAUUGAAUGUUCAUAUGCAUGAGUGAAAGAUGAAGAUAAAGAGAUGAAGGAGGUGGAACAAUGUGGAUAAGAGAGACGAGGUAAGUGGUGAGUUUUGUUUUCUCAUAUUUGAAAGAUCUAAAACUAGAAAUCAAAUGAUUUGUAGAACAUGCUCUCAAAACAUAAUCUAUCUCUAAUUUUGAACUAAAAUAUAACCCUAGAUGAACGAGAAUUUUAACCACCAUGAAACUAACCUGACAUCAUCACUUCUUAUUCUAUAUUUCCACCAAGAGGCAUUCACUUGUAGUAGUGGGAGAGGCCUCAUUUAGGCAAGAUAAGCUUCCAUUCCUGUUGUAAUACACCUACACACAUGCAAAGUGAAGCCCUAGAAAACCUUUCCCCUCUAAGUAGGAACAAUGACCAUGGUUUUAUGUCAAUAUAUAAAGCAUUACCCUCACUCUCUCUCCUCUCUUCAUGUGAGAGAAACCACCAAAAGUUUCUCAUGCCUUCACACCUUUCUAAACAAUUACACACCAUUAGAUCAAUGGGUCUCCUCUCUCUAGUGUCUUCUACCAUUUGAUGGUUGGUUUCUUCAUCUAGUCACUUUUCUCUAUUAGAUUGAUGAACCCUUCUUUUGCCAUUAGUGCCUUUCUUAGCCAUUGGAUCCCUCUUGCCACUAAGGUCACUUGUUGUACACAAUGGCUAGAUUCCAACCACAUAUGGGAUGCCCUAGACUUGAGUAAUAAAUCAUUAAAAAUAUCUAGAGGAUAGUUAAUAAAAUAUUGAAACAUAAUGUCCAUUAUGGUUCUAUAUAAUGUCACAUCAAACAUAUAUGAAAGAAUAAUCCAAGAAAAUUCAAGAAAAUACUGGAAACAUUAAUAUACCUCUAAACAUAUUAAAAUCACACCAUUCACACCAUUGAGGUGAGGAAUUAAUAAAGAGAAUCCUAAAAAAUGUUAAACUAUAGAAGAUAAUGUGUGUUUCUAACCUACUAUUCAUGUUACUAGGGGUUCAUCAAAUGGAAUUAGAGCCACACAUCAAAUGUUGAAGAUGAUAGAACCUAAGGUAAACCUCCUUGAGAGAAGCUUGGAGAAAGUUCAUGAGGUCAAUACAACCCUCUAGCAAAACGCCAUGAUGCUCCUAAUGAAAGUCUCUUCCCUCUGUGAGGAGACCAGGGGACUUCGUCAACAACUAGAUCACAUUAUUUGAACACUAGACAACCUACAAAGUUGGGAGGAGCUUCAACAACUUCUUGAAUGAUUCAACACCACUCAAUCAAGCUUUCUUUGUCAUAAUUUCCUAAGCAUCAACUAGAAAGCCUUUAUUAUGGAAUACCAAGAGGAGUUCAAAAUGAUGGCUGGCAUAUUGGGUCACUUACCCAAACAUAUUUUUGAAAAUAUAAUCCUAAAAGGGUUACAUAAUGAAAACUAAGUGGAAGUCACACUUUUAGAACAAAUUGGGCAUAAAAAGUUGAAGCUAAAUGUCAUAGUAAUAAGAUCUUAUUAAAGUAGAAGAAAUCUCCACAAUUUCACUAUUGAAGCUCCUAACUAUUCCCUUCAACAUUACUUAAUUCUUGAACAAGACCCUCAAAGGAUAAUGAUCAACGAAGGACAAAGAUCUAACCUUACUAUAGGUGGCUCACAUGUCAAGGAAUGCUAGUGAAUACAUCUCACUAUAGUACAAAUUCAAUCCUAAUGAGCUCAGGGACUCUACUUCUCAUGUAACGAUAAGUUCUUUCUAGAACAUCUCUACUACUAAGAACAAUAGGUGUUGGUCAUCCAAGAAGGAUUUAUCUUUGAUAAUAGGGCCAGACUCCAAAAGACUACACGACAUCGUGGGAAGAUCGAGUAAUCGACACUAUGAAAAUCAAUAUAGUAAUUUUCACAUUUGACCUUGUAGACAAGAUAUGAUUCAAAGGGGAGAAUAUUGAUGAGACACUAGUUGAUCAAAGACAUCCCUAGAGGCUUAACAAAUGCCUCAACUACUUUACCAAUAGAGAUGUCAGCAAAGAUUAACUAGAGAUAUCCUCAAGAUAAGUGCCACUAGAGAUUAACCAUUGAAAUUGAUUAGCAAUAGUUAUGGUAAGAGGAGGAAGGUGAAGAAAAGAUUAGAGGAGUAAUAAUAAGAGAUUGAUCAUCUUGUAAUGAGUCCUUAUCAAGAAUAGUUCUACAAUCUUAUUGUUGAGUACAACCCCUUCCAUUCUCCUAUUUUCAUUUUCUCUUCCCUUUAACUUUUAUUAGGUCUCUAUAUCAUGUACCUUUCAAGGGAUUUCUAGGCCUCUAGUGAAGUAUUUUUCUCCAAAAUAAUGAGUCCCCUUCUUUUCAUAUAUGGGGGCCCAUUAUGACUAUAAAGGGAGGGGCUUCUAAAGGGCUAGACAUGAGGAAGAACAAAGUAUUACUGUUGAAAGAGGAGAGAGACCUUGGAAAAUGAAUUAAUCAAGGAGAGAGAGCAUACACAAUGUUUAUAGAGAGAGAGAGAGAGGAGAGAGAAUGGAUAAUGGGCCCUUAAUGGGCCAGGUGAGCUAUAUAACAAUUACUAUGCUCACAAAUUGCAUAUAGCACUUGCACCACUAGAGAUAUGAGUUCAGUGCUAAUGGUUUGUCCAUUAGUAUAAAAGUACCUCACAAGUUUAUGCUUCCACCAAUUUACACCUCACCUCAAAAAUUAAAAAAAAAUUCGUCACAACGAUACAUGGUUACCUUAUGACAUGUGUUACCAAGGUCAACCUUCAAGCACAAACCUUAAUAGUAACUAUGUGUCAUGGUCCACGAUGAUGUAUGACCCAAUAAUUGAAUAGUUAAUCUCAUACAAAAAUGAGAAUUAACUAUCAUAGGGAACAUGUAUAUAAUAGGAUACCCCAACCCUUUACACUGAAUACCUUGAAAGUUAAGUUUAUCUUUAUUGAUUACGGAUAACCUCUCUUGAUCACAUUUGGCCCACUUAGGUAAGAAAAAUAGCAUAGGCCAAUGAAUUAUUUGAAGCUAUACAAAUCUUUGUUACAUUCAUAUUAGAGCAAAGUUAGAUCCCCUUGCUUCUUUCCUUAUUUUUUUCUAUUGGUAGAAAGAUAUAGAUGUAGAAAAAAGUUGGGUGGAUAUGAGUGGUGCCCAUGAGUAAAGGUUCGCCCAUUUAGAUGAGUAGUUUGGAGGUGACAGUUGCGACUAUAGAAUCCUUCACUAGUAAGAUGUAGGCGGGGUGAAUCCCUAUAGAGAGAGAAUGCGGACAAUUCAAAAGAAGAAUGGAUCUAGGUAGUAACAACACUUAUUGAAGCCUUGUUUAACCAAAUAGAUGAGGACAUAAAAAAUAGAGACAUAAAAAAAAGAGAUAAAAAAUAAUGAUAUAUUUUUGCCUAAAAAAGAGAGAUCCUCCCUUCAUAAAAGAAAUCAUGAGGAAAUUAGAUCAAGUUUAAAAUUAGUUGGAGGCCAACUUUCAAAAAGUAGUGGGAGACCUCCAUAAGAAGGUUGUAGGUAGUGGGAGACUAUAAAAGCCUUACAAUUGAGCCCAAAUUUUAUGGUCAAAAGAGGGAUAUCAUAAUAAUUAGUAAUCUUUUAUGAGAUCUACAAUAGUAUUUGAAUGUUAACGCAUCUUUGAAAGAAGAGAAAAUUUUCCUAAGUAGUCUUUAUUAGUUAGGACAUGCUAAGACAUAAUAGUGACUAAGGAUGGAAGAUAACUCACAACUAGUAGUAGCAUAGUGAGAGUACUUUGCCAAGAAAAUGUGAGGGCAAUUUCAUAUAAUGAAUUGUGAAAAAUCCAUCAAAAUUAUCAUGAGAUAAUUAAAAUAUAUCAAAUUUAUCUGUGAGUAUGUUGAAAAGAUUGUCAUGAACAUAUGUAGUAGCUUGUGAUAGAUUUUUGAUCUCCUUUAUCCAAAAUAUCCAUAGUCGAAAUAGGCCUCAAUUUACAAACGACCAUGACAUGUGUAAAGGAGCCCCUUCUUCAAAGCUUAUUUGAUGUAUGCAAGUACUCAUAAAGCGCCCUUUCAAUGUACCUUGUGUGACUCCUACAUAAAUUGGUUAAGGACACUAAAAACAUCAAACUAUGUAAGGAUGAGUAACUAUCAAGUAGAUUAGUUUCCCUAAUAAACGUUGAUGUAUGUUAGUGUCUUCUACUAGAAGGGAAUUGUUCUAAAGCUUUGGCUGAUAUUCUAUUGAUGAAGAUUCUACUUUACACCCUAGUAAUUAUGUUUCUUAAAGGAGAUCUAAGGCAUACUUUUGUUGAGAAAGAGCUAGUUAUCUCGAUUGAUAGGCAAACUCAAAUCCAAAGAAGUAGUACAAGGCUUAAAGAUCAUUCAUCACAAAGUGCUAAUGUAACUACUCUUUUGUAGUAGAGAUGUCUACCUCAUCACUGUUUGUUAAAAGUAUAUCAUUAACAUAAACACCAAAACUACAAAAGUCCUCAAAAAUGGUCUUCCACAUCACAAUAAAAUCAACAACAUAUGGAGUGAAGCUAUAGGCAAUAAGGAGCUAGUUGAAUUUCACAUACUAAACUCAGAGACUCUAUUUGAGCCCAUAUAUGGCUCAUCGGAGCAAGCAUACUUGAGAAGUCUCCCUUUUAAUAACAUACCUUAGAGGUUGUUCCAUAAACACAUGUUCAUAUAAGUUGUCAUACAUGAAGACAUUAAAGAUAUUCAGUUGGUGUAAGGACUAACCCUAAUUAACUAUCUGAGAGAUAAGUACUCGAAUGGAGUUGAGACGAACCACUAAAGAGAAAGUUUUCAUAUAAUUGAUGUCAUAUGUUUAAGUGAAACCUCAAGCUAUUAACCGAGCAAAAGUGAUGAGCCAUUAUACCAUCAAGAUUAUAUUUAAGGUUGAAAACCCAUUUGCACAUCACAUGUUAGUAUUAGUUCGACGUAGUACAAGUUAUCAAGUACCACAUGUUAUUAAGGCACGAUACACAAGAUCUAUGGUCACUUUUCACUCAUGUACCUAAAGAGCUUCAAGAUACAUCUUGAGAAGUGACUUAGAAGAAAUAAAGAGGGCAAAAACAUAAAAGGUAGGGUGAAGGCAGUCAUAAGAGACAAAAUUAGUAAUGGGGUACUAAGUGUAAGUAUGUUUACCUUUGUGUAGGGCAAUUAGAAGAUGGAGGUCAUCUAAAGGUGGAGUAGUAAAGGAGUGUGUGGCCUAAUCUAGUACCAGAGUGGAGACAAUUGAGGGUAUAUCUUGUAUUAGAUCUUGUGAAGAUGACAUGAAUAGUGACACCAUAUGAGUGUCCUUGAUAAAAAGUAAUAUGAGGUUGUGAAGUACGAUUGGAAGAGAGUGGUGGAAAACCUAGAGGUGGAGAAGAAGACACUUGAGAAAGAGUAGUAUGAGAAGAAAAGAAGGGUCUGUCCUAAUGGAAAGUGAUAUCAAUUGAAGUGAUACAAUGAUGAGUAUCAAGGAAGUAUACACGAUAGCUUUUUUACGUAUGCAAGUAGUCAAUGACGACCCUCUUAAGGGCACGAGGAGUAUGAAAACAGAUAAAGUGUGAUCAUUGACGAAUGUUAGAUAGCCAAAUAUACGAGAAAAAAAAGCCAAAGAGAGUUGCCUUGGGGUAGAGAUGUUAGAGGGGAAUAUCUUCAUUUAGGGGGGAGGAAGGUAGACGGUUGUGUAGGUAGGUGGCCAUCAUGAGAGUAUUAUUGUACUAGAGAUAGUGAGGGACAUGCAUCUCAUUGAAAAGUAUGUGAGUAAUGUCUAGUAGGUGGUGAUGUUUCUAUUCUACAACACCAUUUUGUUGAGAGGUGUAAGGGCACCUGGUCUAGUGUAUAAUAUUACGAUCAACACAAAAGGUAGAGAGAACAAGUUGAACUAACUCCAGGGCAUUGUUAGUAUGAAGAAUCUUAGGGGUAAUAGAGUGUUGUAUCAUAAUCUUGAUGAUGAAUUAUAUGACAAUGUUAGGGACAUGAGAAUAAUUUUUCAUGAGAUAUAGCCAACAAAGAUCACAUAGUAGAGGUGGCAUAAGAGAGAAUUAACCUAAGAUAGGCACCAAACAUUACAAUGAACAAGGUCAAACUAGUGAGAGGACAAGAUUAUGUUGUGAGGAGAGUAGGUGGAGUGAUGAUGUUUGCUUAAUUGGCAUGACUCACACAUAAACUUAGAGAGAGAAAGGCAUAGUAAUGAUUUUUGAAGUUUUGAAAAAUAAGAAUGUCCUGAACAAUGAUGCCACAAAAUAGAUAAAAAAAAGUAGAAUGAGCAAACAAGAUAAGAAGACCCAAGGAUAGUGUCUUGGGGACAAGCUCAUAGAUGUCACUACCAUUCUCAUACUUCAAAUCAAUCCAUUGUCUUAUAUGUAGAUCUUGAAAAAUACAAAGAAAGAGAAAAAAUAUAAUAACACAAUUAAGUGUACAUGUGAUGGCACUAAUGGACAAGAGGUUAGUGGGAAAAUUAGGUACAUGAAGGACAUCAUGGAGGGGUAGGGAGGGUAUAUGUGUGGUCAAUCUAUGACCCUUAAUGGACAUAAAUGACUAUUAGCAAUGGAGAUAGGAGGAUAGGUAGAUGUAGGUUAAAUGAAGAUGGGGACAAAUAGUGUACCCAUCAUAUGGGCAAAUUCCCCCAAGUCGAUAAUCUAAGACAAUUUAGAAGUAAUAAGGACAUAUACUUAAAGUAGAGGUAAGACUGGCCAAUGUGAUAGUGUAGGACAAAAUAUCAUAUGUUUGCUUUCAUGUCUCAUAUUUGGCGAGAGAGAAUGACACCUAGAUUGUUAGAAUAGUAGGUGUCGGUGGAGGAACUAUAGAUGUAAUAGGAGUGGCUAUACGAGAGUAGGCAAUAGAUAUCAAGGCUUGUGUCCAUUUGGGUUUCCCAAAUUCUUUUCAACACUUGUUAGAAGGAUAGCUGGUCUUGACAUAGUAGGUACAUGGGGGAAAUCCAUUCUUAACCUUAGUAGAACUCUUGCCCUUAUUAUAAUUCUUGGGGCCAUGGCCACCAUGUGAUCCUAAUGCUACUGUUACUAGGGCCAAAGGAUAUGGUAGAGCAAAUGAGACAAAUGACAUAAGAAUGCUUAGGGGUACACCAAUAAUAACUCAAAAUGUUAAAGAGAAAAUGGAGGCAAUCGACAAUAUAUGACUACUAGAAAGUACUUGACGAUAAAUCUAGAAGGCAAUGGAUGGGUGAAAGCCAUUGAGAUAGGCAUCGACAAAUAGUUAUUAAUGAUAAUGCUCCAAGUGCAUAAAUCAGUUGUGGAGGGCUAGCGGACCAAUAACUUCUAGAUGAUGUUUUAGAGUUUGCCAAAAUACUCCUAAAGAGUUUGAUUGCCUUGCUUGCAUGCAAAAAAAGCUUCAUAAAGUUUGAUUGUGCGGUUGAUAUUGGUCUUAUUAAUAUACAUCAUCUCAAGUGUCUGCCAAAGGGCGCAUAGGAACUUGAUGUGAUCAAGAGGUUGAGCAAUACUUGGAAUAAUGUUUCAACACAUCUAUAUAAGAACUGUCAAGUCAAGUUGUGACCACAACACAUAAGUACAUGUCGUGGCUACCGGAGGUGAUGUUAGAUAAUGUAACAAAUUAUGAGCUUGAAAAAAAUUUUCAAAGCUAUAUAUGCCCACGAUCAAUAAUUGAAAUUGUCAAACACAUAUGCCAGCCAAGUUAGUGGGGCAAUAAUAGAGUGAUGGGUCGAUAGUAUUGGAUCAACUACAAGACAAACAAAGGGACUAGAAGAGGGAGAACUAGAAGUAACAAUUCGUCGAUAGAAUCUACCAUCAGGUUGGGGCACGUAAGAGAGCAACAAUCAAAAGAUCAGGACACUAAUAGAUGAGGGCCAGCUAAGGCUGUUAGGGUAGGGCACUAAGGUGGCCUAGGUAGCCACAUGAGUAGCUUGGGCCUAAAAUAAUUUGGACAGUAGCUUGGACUUGGAAUGGCCCAAGUGAAUGCCAAUACUAGAGCAACAAUUUUAGUAGUCAAAGAAGACGGUGGCUAUGGAGGCAAUGAGGGAAAUGAUGGUGGCGACGAUGAUAGUGGCAACAAAUUAGGAGGGAACCCUAGGACGAGCCAGUACACAAUAAGGUGGGGGGGCAGUCUCAUGGCUCUAGUGCCAUGUGGAAUGAAAAACCUUUAAUCCUGAGAUUACAAGAGCUUAUAUAAAGGAGAGAAGAAGAUGGGUCAUUGUUGGGCCAUACUCUUAUAGUACAUACCAAAACUCAAUAGUAAAAAUAUAUUUAAAUAAUAAUAGUCAAAGAGUCAAGUAGGUAUUUGUGGGUUGUUAUAAAAAGAAGGUCAUAAAGGUUAAGAACAUAUCUUUUCUAAGUCUAGAACCAGCUUAGAAGAUGUCAAGUUGGGACAUGUCUAUUUCUCUUUUUGAACUUGAUUUACAUACUAGGACUGAAUUAAGGCCAAAUUUGAAAUGAUUCUAGAUGACUUUUCCCCUCACCUAGUGCAUGUCUACAAGGGUCAAGAAGUCAAGAUGGAGAUUGAACUGAAGGUGAAGAGGAGGAGAUCCCCUCUUUCUCUCUCUCUCUCUCUCUCUCUCUCCCUCUCUCUCUCUCUCUCUCUCUCUCUCUCUCUCUCUCUCUCNNNNNNNNNNNNNNNNNNNNNNNNNNNNNNNNNNNNNNNNNNNNNNNNNNNNNNNNNNNNNNNNNNNNNNNNNNNNNNNNNNNNNNNNNNNNNNNNNNNNNNNNNNNNNNNNNNNNNNNNNNNNNNNNNNNNNNNNNNNNNNNNNNNNNNNNNNNNNNNNNNNNNNNNNNNNNNNNNNNNNNNNNNNNNNNNNNNNNNNNNNNNNNNNNNNNNNNNNNNNNNNNNCUCUCUCUCUCUCUCUCUCUCUCUCUCUCUCUCUCUCUCUCUCUCUCUCUCUCUCUCUCUCUCUCUCUCUCUCUCUCUCUCUCUCUCUCUCUCUCUCUCUCUCUCUCUCUCUCUCUCUCCUCUCUCUCUCUCUUGCUCUCUCUUCCCACCAACUUCAAUGGGGUUUUCUACUACUACCACAAGGCUUUUGUUCCACCACCAGGGCAAGAUACUCGCUCACUAUGUGUCCUCUUUUACUGCCACAAGCUCCUCUACCGUUGUUGCAUGCUUUCUUCCAUUGCCACUACAGAAUCCUCCUCGCCAUGCAUCCUCUUCUGCCACCACAGGCUCCUCCACCACCAUUGCAUGUUUUCUUCUCCUACCAUUGCAGAAUCCUCCCUUGUUGCGCAUCCUCUUCUGUUGCCACAAACUCCUCUAUUGCUACUACAUACUUUCUUCCACUGCCAUCGCAUAAUCCUCUCUCACUGUACUCCCUCUUUUGUUACUACAUGCUCCUUUGAGACCACUACAUGUUUUCUUUUGUGCCCACCACAAAAUCCUCUCUAGCCGUGAGUUCUCUUCCAUUACCACAAGCUCCUCUACUACCGGUACAUGCUUCUCUUCUGCCAACAAUGUAGAAUCCUAGCUAGUUCUGUGUCCUCUUAUGGCACAUGUUCCUCCUGCCACAAGUUAUUUGAUGUUUUUGUAUUUUUAAAUAUAACACAAUUAUAUAAUUAAAUGAUUUUAUUUAUCUUAAUUUGUAAUAUUAUAAUUAACUGUUAUGAUUUAAAAGUUAGUUAUAUUAUAGAUAAAUUAUAACAUAUAUAUAUAUCUUUAAAUGUAGAUAGGUCAUAGGUCUGAACUUAGUUCUAAGUUUAGGUCACAACUAAAAACUUAAUUGAGACUAUGACCAUUGAUCUCUAGUUAUAGCUGAAAACUUGGGCACAAAUAAAUAAUUUUGAUCUUAGAGGGGGGUAUAAUGUUAAAACACUAUGCUGCGGACUUCUCCUGGGAUCAUUAAUGGUCUAUGCCCACAGAACAUGUCCGAGGGUGACACCCUGCCUAAGUCAUGGGCCUGGGGUCCAGUACAGAGCCCAAGUGUCUGUGCAAAGCUAUUUGGAUCCGAUAUCGCGGAGCGGAUCUGCAACGGACCAAGAAGAUACACGGAGGGGAAGAUCCGGCGGAUAAAGUGACCGUUGUGGGCCGGAAAACCGCUCGACGCACGUUCUCCCGUUAUGGGCCAGAAAGAAGGUGGCGUGGGGGGUUUUUCCAGGCGGCCCAGAUCGUGGGUGGGCUGUUCCGACCUUCAGGGGGUGCACGAGAGUCUUUGCGUUGACCAUCACCAUUUCCGCGUAAUCUUGGAGAAGAAAGGUAGCUAGUGCUGGCGACGGGGGCCAAGGCCAGUCCGGGAACGAAUCCAGGUGAGUUCGAUCCUUGACCCGUGAUACAAGGCACAGGCCCACUCCUCCGGCCCCAUGCUUACCAAAAGAAGUGGUGGACAGGUGACUCGGCAGAUACGUCCAUAUUUCAGCCGACUGCGCUCAAAUUCCGAACGGCCACAGUCGCUGUGAUAGCCGCUAUACUUUCUCCAUGGUAGAAAUUUUGACGGUCAAGUCAAUGUCGGACCGUGUGGUCGCCGUCGUCCUUCUUCGGAAGCAUCACCAGAGCUAGCAUCGCCGCGUACUAAAGUGGCGCAGACGGAGAACUUGUUUUCUUGUCUAACUGGUUCAACUCACGGCAUCGCAGACCUUGCAGGAGUGAGUUCCGUGGUGGCCCUAACCCACCUCCUCGGAGCUUAUCCCUGAGCCAUGCCGCUGGGCACGCCCGCCGCCUCUUUGCUCCUCCUGCUCACCUUUGUCCUCAUGGCUGGAGCGGAGACGGUGACCACCUAUUUCGACUUCCCUACGUUUGGCUCUAGCCGCGACAUCACCUUCCUGGGCAACGCCUCAUCCACCAACGGCUCUCUAGAGCUCAACGAAGACGGCAGCUACAGCUACGGCCGAGCCUUCUACUCGAACCCGGUCCGUCUCUGGGACAACAAAACGGGGAAUCUGGCAAGCUUGAUCACAAACUUCUCCUUCUCGGUGAUCCAGAGUCCGAACAGUACAUAUCACGGUGAUGGAUUAGUCUUCUUCCUCGCCCCCAUCGGCUACCCUGUACUGCAGAACAGAUUGGGUGGCCUAUUCACGCUCUUCAAUAGUAGUGACGAAUUGGUCAUGUCCCCCGUGGUAGCCGUCGAGUUCGAUACCUACUCAAACGAUUGGGAUACGGAGGUCGCCCAUGUGGGAAUCGACGUCGGCCACAUCGACUCCGUCAAAAGCUUGUCUUGGGAGUCGUUCGACUUCCCGACCAUCGACGCAGUGAUCUCCUACGACGCCGGCACCACGGAGCUGAGAGCCUCCUUUUCCGACGGCAACGGCUACAACAAGACCUUAUUUUACGUCGUCGACCUGAGAAAGGAGCUCCCCGAAACUGUGAACAUCGGCUUCGCGGGUGCCACUGGCAGAUACUUCGAACGCCAUGUGAUACAUUCCUGGAGCUUCAACUCAAGCCUGGAUGUUGUCGACCGUAACGGCAACACUACGAACGGCGGCGACACCGGAGGGGGCACCAUCACGGCUCCACCGGUCCCCCCUCCGAACAAGAAGAAAAGCAGCAUCGGUCUACUGGCUGGUGUGCUAGCCGGCGCGGGAACCUUGGCAAUCGCAGCGGGUUUGGCACUCGUCUUCGUCUGGCGAAGAAGGGCACAUGCGAAGAAUGGAGGACAGGACGGCGUCAUCAACGACAGCGAAUUUGACGAAGGCAAGGGGCCCAAGAGCUUCUCUUAUUCGGAACUCGCCCGGGCAACAAGCAACUUUGCGCCAGAACAAAAGCUAGGAAGAGGAGGAUUCGGAGACGUUUACAGAGGAACCUUAACCCGGCCGAAAAUGGUGGUGGCCAUCAAGAGAGUCGCAAAAGACUCGAGGCAGGGAAAGAAGGAGUAUGUCGCCGAGGUGAAGGUCAUCAGCCGCGUGCGCCAACGCAACCUCGUGCAGCUCGUGGGGUGGUGCCACGAGAAGGGGGACCUGCUUCUCGUCUAUGAGUACAUGCCCAACGGCAGCCUCGACGCCCACCUCUACGGCGGUGGCAAUCCGCUGCCGUGGCCGACGCGGUACAGCAUCGCCCGGGGUGUCGCGGCGGCGUUGCUUUACCUCCACGACGAGUCGGACAAGUGCGUGGUCCACAGGGACGUCAAGUCGAGCAACGUGAUGCUGGACGCCAAUUUCAACGCCAAGUUAGGGGAUUUCGGCCUUGCGAGGCUCGUGGACCACGGCGGCGGCAUGGAGACGACGGCCGUGGCUGGGACGAUGGGGUAC